rnacentral:rRNA from 1 species
CCUACGGGAGGCAGCAGUGGGGAAUAUUGGACAAUGGGCGAAAGCCUGAUCCAGCCAUGCCGCGUGUGUGAAGAAGGCCUUCGGGUUGUAAAGCACUUUCAGUGGGGAAGAAAGCCUUGGGGCUAAUACCCUCGAGGAAGGACAUCACCCACAGAAGAAGCACCGGCUAACUCCGUGCCAGCAGCCGCGGUAAUACGGAGGGUGCGAGCGUUAAUCGGAAUUACUGGGCGUAAAGCGCGCGUAGGCGGUCUGAUAAGCCGGUUGUGAAAGCCCCGGGCUCAACCUGGGAACGGCAUCCGGAACGGUCAGGCUAGAGUGCAGGAGAGGAAGGUAGAAUUCCCGGUGUAGCGGUGAAAUGCGUAGAGAUCUGGAGGAAUACCAGUGGCGAAGGCGGCCUUCUGGACUGACACUGACGCUGAGGUGCGAAAGCGUGGGUAGCAAACAGGAUUAGAUACCCGAGUAGUC